AAUGCCUUGAAGGUAAGAAAACACCUAUUUCUUUCUUUCAUUUUUAAGAAAAAAAAGGAUAAGUUAAUUUCAUUUGAAGAAAGCCAGAUGUCCUCAAGAUAGGUCCUGUCUGCCAACAGAGUUCUUAAAAAUCCUCUGAUGAGUCAAAAUUCCAAGGUUCUUUCCCAUGUUGGCGGUCAGAGUGAUAAGGCCUCUCCCGCUAAAAUGUUUCUAUAAUACUCUCAAUGGUCAGUUGAUUCCCUGUAUCCAGAUCUUAUCCCAAUAAGUCACUUUAGUUCCCACUGAUUCCUGAGCAAAGCCGUUAACUAAACAACGAAGAGAACAGAAUUUGUAUGAAUGCCAAUUGAUUCAAAUACUAAUUGGUAAUAUCUGUGUGCAGUAGUUUCCUUCAAUAUAUGUUAUAUUAUACUUAACUGCUCUCCUGUCCAGGAUAUCGGUAUUAUGCAUUUGUACAACAUUUGUUACACUUUGUUUAAUUAUCUUUUAUAGAUUACCGAUAGAGCAUUUAAAAGAAAUGAAUGAAAAGUGUGUGCAGAGUGCUGCUCUAUAACUGAAUGGGUCACUUGGAAUUCAUUUUGUCUACAUCCUGGACUGCACGUAGGGAGACAAAAAAAAACCGCCUGGGAUUGGAGAGGAGGAAUGUGGCAGGGCAUGGGAAUCGCAGUGUCCUGGUGGUCACCGAGCAUAUUUUGGCUUGUCUUAAAACAAGCAAGCACCGUUGGACCUUUGGAAUCCUAACAAGUGAGUCCCGCUAUCACCCUACCUAUCAGAGGCUGGCUGCCUGAGAAAAAGCGUGUGGGUUUGAGGCUGCAGCCGGAGGCGCUGGCUGGCUCUGUGUCAGCCCCUGCCUGAUUUCUGACUUCCAGUACUGUUCCGCGACCUCUGCCCCUAUCCGGUGUCCUGUUACAGUUCAUUUCAAUAAUUAAACAGUUCGGGGAUGGCAAGACUUGUGUGUUGUCAAGAGAAAAUCAGGGCGAUGGCUUUUUCUCAAUACUGGAAUCAGGAGUGUUUGGGUUUAAUUAUAUUAGCCAGUGCCUGUUCAUUAAUUUUCCCAAUCAUAGGGAGGCAUGCUUGCCGGGCGAGAUUGGCAAUGGGUUAAAGCGGUUAUUAAGGCAGGGCAUUUCAAAGGAAAGGGAUCCGAACUCUGACAAAAUCAGAUGUCUGAAAUUUCAAUCAAGUGCCCUGGGUUCCAGUGGCAGCUUUACUCCUUGAAAGAAGACAGCUUCUCUCCCAUCUGGAAUCCCAAAUCGCUCGGGGAGCGGGACUAAGCCAUUGGAUGCCAGCUCCAAAUAUGCCGAUUUCUCAGUGCCAGAAAAAUAAACUGCUCCCUUCAAACUCCA
rnacentral:lncRNA from 1 species